CGCAAGGUGACUAAGAAUUUCAUUGUGAUGCCCAAGGUUUUGGAAGUCAGGUGAUCGGGGCAGCCAAUAAAUAGCCUAUGGAAUGUAAGUGGAGAGGAUCACAAUCCGCUGACAUAGAAACCAUCUGGGCGUCAAGUUCUGCUGAGAGAAAAUUUAGCUGGAACAAGUCCUGGCGAUAUUGCACAUUUUACUCCGGAGGAUUGAGCACCUCGCUUGGCUACAGUCGGCUAAUUGCUUUGCUGCAGCGCUUAUUGGUUGAGAACCAGAGCCUGUCGCCAGUGCCGGUAUUUGUCUACUUUUUCAUUUAUUAUUUUAUGACAUGUCAUAAGGGGACAUUGCUUAGACCCCCUAAACCAGAGAAUCCAUUGGUGAGUCCACAUUUUAUUAGCUUGGACACUAGGGGUGUGAAUCGCCAAGAAUUUGGCGAUUCGAUUCGAAUCGCGAUACCAGUGUGGCGAUUCGAUAUAUCCCGAUAUAUCGCGAUACCGUCUAGGUGACGAUACAUCGCGAUAUUUCCCGAUUCUGUUUAAAAAA